rnacentral:rRNA from 1 species
AUUGAACGCUGGCGGCAGGCUUAACACAUGCAAGUCGAGCGGAGAUGAGGUGCUUGCACCUUAUCUUAGCGGCGGCCGGGUGAGUAAUGCUUAGGAAUCUGCCUAUUAGUGGGGGACAACAUUCCGAAAGGAAUGCUAAUACCGCAUACGUCCUACGGGAGAAAGCAGGGGAUCUUCGGACCUUCCGCUAAUAGAUGAGCCUAAGUCGGAUUAGCUAGUUGGUGGGGUAAAGGCCUACCAAGGCGACGAUCUGUAGCGGGUCUGAGAGGAUGAUCCGCCACACUGGGACUGAGACACGGCCCAGACUCCUACGGGAGGCAGCAGUGGGGAAUAUUGGACAAUGGGGGGAACCCUGAUCCAGCCAUGCCGCGUGUGUGAAGAAGGCCUUAUGGUUGUAAAGCACUUUAAGCGAGGAGGAGGCUACUGAGACUAAUACUCUUGGAUAGUGGACGUUACUCGCAGAAUAAGCACCGGCUAACUCUGUGCCAGCAGCCGCGGUAA